AGCACAAGGGAGUUUACUYCUGAGGUGGCGAGCGGCGGACGGGUGAGUAAUGCCUAGGGAUCUGCCCAGUCGAGGGGGAUAACAGUUGGAAACGACUGCUAAUACCGCAUACGCCCUACGGGGGAAAGAGGGGGACCUUCGGGCCUCUCGCGAUUGGAUGAACCUAGGUGGGAUUAGCUAGUUGGUGAGGUAAUGGCUCACCAAGGCGACGAUCCCUAGCUGUUCUGAGAGGAUGAUCAGCCACACUGGGACUGAGACACGGCCCAGACUCCUACGGGAGGCAGCAGUGGGGAAUAUUGCACAAUGGGGGAAACCCUGAUGCAGCCAUGCCGCGUGUGUGAAGAAGGCCUUCGGGUUGUAAAGCACUUUCAGUAGGGAGGAAAGGGUGAGUCUUAAUACGGCUCAUCUGUGACGUUACCUACAGAAGAAGGACCGGCUAACUCCGUGCCAGCAGCCGCGGUAAUACGGAGGGUCCGAGCGUUAAUCGGAAUUACUGGGCGUAAAGCGUGCGCAGGCGGUUUGUUAAGCGAGAUGUGAAAGCCCUGGGCUCAACCUAGG
rnacentral:rRNA from 1 species